GAUGAACGCUGGCGGCGUGCCUAAUACAUGCAAGUCGAGCGAACGGACGAGAAGCUUGCUCCUCUGAUGUUAGCGGCGGACGGGUGAGUAACACGUGGAUAACCUACCUAUAAGACUGGGAUAACUUCGGGAAACCGGAGCUAAUACCGGAUAAUAUUUUGAACCGCAUGGUUCAAAAGUAAAAGACGGUCUUGCUGUCACUUAUAGAUGGAUCCGCGCUGCAUUAGCUAGUUGGUAAGGUAACGGCUUACCAAGGCAACGAUGCGUAGCCGACCUGAGAGGGUGAUCGGCCACACUGGAACUGAGACACGGUCCAGACUCCUACGGGAGGCAGCAGUAGGGAAUCUUCCGCAAUGGGCGAAAGCCUGACGGAGCAACGCCGCGUGAGUGAUGAAGGUCUUCGGAUCGUAAAACUCUGUUAUUAGGGAAGAACAAAUGUGUAAGUAACUGUGCACAUCUUGACGGUACCUAAUCAGAAAGCCACGGCUAACUACGUG
rnacentral:rRNA from 1 species